rnacentral:tRNA from 1 species
AUUUAAUUUUAGUUUUAUUUAAUAUUUUAAUAUAAUUAAUUAUUUUUAAUUUUUUAUAUUUUAAAUUAAAUUUAAUUUUAUUCAAAUUAAAUAUAGUAAUUUUU